CUAUCCUCGAUAGCUCAGUGGUAGAGCAAUCGGCUGUUAACCGAUUGGUCGUAGGUUCAAGUCCUACUCGGG
rnacentral:tRNA from 1 species